rnacentral:rRNA from 1 species
AUGAACGCUGGCGGCGUGCCUAAUACAUGCAAGUCGAGCGAACAGACGAGGAGCUUGCUCCUCUGACGUUAGCGGCGGACGGGUGAGUAACACGUGGAUAACCUACCUAUAAGACUGGGAUAACUUCGGGAAACCGGAGCUAAUACCGGAUAAUAUAUUGAACCGCAUGGUUCAAUAGUGAAAGACGGCUUUGCUGUCACUUAUAGAUGGAUCCGCGCCGCAUUAGCUAGUUGGUAAGGUAACGGC